rnacentral:rRNA from 1 species
ACGGCUCAGUAACACGUGGCUAACCUGCCCUUGGGACCGGAACACCCCCGGGAAACUGGGGCUAAUUCUCGAUAGGUGAAGAACUCUGGAAUGAGUCUUCGCCAAAAAGACGCUUGCGUUAUGCUCGUAGGUGUCGCCCAAGGAUGGGGCCGCGACCGAUCAGGUUGUUGGUGAGGUAAUGGCUCACCAAGCCUUUUACCGGUGCGGGCCGUGGGAGCGGGAGCCCGGAGAUGGGCACUGAGACAAGGGCCCAGGCCCUACGGGGCGCAGCAGUCGCGAAAACUUUGCAAUAAGCGAAAGCUUGACAGGGCUAUCCCGAGUACCAUCCGCUGAGGAAGGCUUUUACCCAGUCUAGAACGCUGGGGGAAUAAGGAGAGGGCAAGUCUGGUGUCAGCCGCCGCGGUAAUACCAGCUCUCCGAGUGGUGUGGAUGUUUAUUGGGCCUAAAGCAUCCGUAGCUGGCUAAGUUAGUCCCUUGUUAAAUCCACCGAAUUAAUCGUUGGAUUGCGGGGGAUACUGCUUGGCUAGGGGACGAGAGAGGCAGACGGUAUUUCCGGGGUAGGGGUGAAAUCCUAUAAUCCCGGGAAGACCACCAGUGGCGAAGGCUGUCUGCUAGAACGCGCCCGACGGUGAGGGAUGAAAGCUGGGGGAGCGAACCGGAUUAGAUACCCGGGUAGUCCCAGCUGUAAACGAUGCAGGCUAGGUGUUUGGACGGCCACGUGCCGUUCUAGUGCCGCAGGGAAGCUGUUAAGCCUGCCGCCUGGGGAGUACGAUCGCAAGAUUGAAACUUAAAGGAAUUGGCGGGGGAGCAC